AUGAAGUUUGUUGUCGCUUUCGGUGCAGGUAGACUGUUAUCCCCUAUCUUCCACAGAAAAGUCCAGGGAAAUUUUGGUAGACUUCUUUUUCUGCGGGGAAUUAUGGUGGAUUUCUUUGACAUAUGGCAGGAAACACUUUCGAAGAAGUCGCUGCCUGGUCGAUUCAUCCAUGUAGAAUCAGAAUUUCCAGAGUAUGGCUUUUCAGAUCGCCACUCUUUCCAGCACACCGCGGUCCAGCACGCCACCUGCUUGCAGCAACUCAUGGCAGCAGUGAGGGUCUAG
rnacentral:rRNA from 1 species